CCGGUAAACGGCGGCCGUAACUAUAACGGUCCUAAGGUAGCGAAAUUCCUUGUCGGGUAAGUUCCGACCUGCACGAAUGGCGUAAUGAUGGCCAGGCUGUCUCCACCCGAGACUCAGUGAAAUUGAACUCGCUGUGAAGAUGCAGUGUACCCGCGGCAAGACGGAAAGACCCCGUGAACCUUUACUAUAGCUUGACACUGAACAUUGAGCCUUGAUGUGUAGGAUAGGUGGGAGGCUUAGAAGUGUGGACGCCAGUCUGCAUGGAGCCGACCUUGAAAUACCACCCUUUAAUGUUUGAUGUUCUAACGUUGACCCGUAAUCCGGGUUGCGGACAGUGUCUGGUGGGUAGUUUGACUGGGGCGGUCUCCUCCUAAAGAGUAACGGAGGAGCACGAAGGUUGGCUAAUCCUGGUCGGACAUCAGGAGGUUAGUGCAAUGGCAUAAGCCAGCUUGACUGCGAGCGUGACGGCGCGAGCAGGUGCGAAAGCAGGUCAUAGUGAUCCGGUGGUUCUGAAUGGAAGGGCCAUCGCUCAACGGAUAAAAGGUACUCCGGGGAUAACAGGCUGAUACCGCCCAAGAGUUCAUAUCGACGGCGGUGUUUGGCACCUCGAUGUCGGCUCAUCACAUCCUGGGGCUGAAGUAGGUCCCAAGGGUAUGGCUGUUCGCCAUUUAAAGUGGUACGCGAGCUGGGUUUAGAACGUCGUGAGACAGUUCGGUCCCUAUCUGCC
rnacentral:rRNA from 1 species